rnacentral:lncRNA from 1 species
GGAGAAGUUUAUCUAUUUUUGCCAGAUCUCCCAAUGAAACUGUCGCAGAACCUCUCUGUGCAGGUUUUGCCUGUGACUCAUGGAAUUUCCAUCCAAUCAUGUAGAAAAUCUGAAAAGUGGCAGGUACUGAGCCAUCGCUAUUGCCAUACAUCUCUUGGUAUAUUGCUGCAGCUGCCAACAUUGUAUCCCUGUGUAGCAGAGGUUUUCUAUUCCAAGAGCAAUUACUUUCUCCCAUACCUAGAAACAUGUUUUAGCUUUAAGAAAAAGAAGAUACAGCAUAUACCAUGAGUUUCGUGCAGAUUUUUACUAACCAAAUAACUACAGCAUCCUCUGAAUCUCACUGUAAGAGUACAAUCUACAGCAGCAAAGGUAAGCUUUUCUGAUUCCAAACCUCUUAAUGCCAAUGCUUUGCAAUCUACUGUUUGUAUUGCUAGGAAUGAUUUCAGCUUAUUACUUUUCAGCUACAGGCUUCAAGCAUUUUGUUUCUCUAAUAGAACUUCUUUCAAUAAACACUUUGCACUGGGUACUUGAGGGAGAUCACUUUUUUUUUCCCCAAAUAGUUAAUAAUGAAAAUAAGUACCCCAGAAGAUCUAAUCCAUGUCUAAUGUUAUACAAGUCUCUUUAAUCACUUACUGCAUCCCAACAUUUCUGCAGGGAACAGAAGUUGUAUUUUAAUUAAGCAAUUAACUCUAUGUAACAGGAGAUGAUCCUUGAGCUGCUCCAUGACUACUGACUGCAUACAAACAACUGCUUUGUAAUCCAUGACAACUGCGUUUAUAACCCUAUCCUAAUUGUUAAGAACCUCAAUUUUUUUGUUUUUCGGCAGACUCCAGUCUGUGGCCUUAUCUAGUCUUGCU